rnacentral:lncRNA from 1 species
AUGCCUGAAAAAGUUGUCGAACACCUUCAGCCGGACCAUUCACCUGAAAAAACUCCACAUGCAGUAAAGGUGCUCCAGUUCCACAAAGCUUUGCCUGCCUUUCACAACAAGCAGCAGAGCAGGCUGUGCCUCCUUGGCCAGCUUCCCCUGUGUUCCUUCUGGCAGCUGAGGCUGUUGAGGCUGCAGCUGAGAGCAGGGAGGUUGCAGUUAAGGUUUCUCCUGUUGGUGUCUGAGCAAGUGAAAGAUGAAGGAAAAGCUACUUGGUGUGUUUGCAGAAUGAUGACCUACAGAACCUCACCAAAUCCUUAUUUUAAACUCAUGGGUAUCAAGACUAUAAAUGUUUCAUGCUAUCACAACUAGGACCUCACCUCCUCCUCCUCUUCCUCUGUAAAUGGGUACGAUGCAUCCAGUUCAGUUUGUUUACUUUACACAAACCUCAGGAGUUGUUGACUGAGCUGCACAUCCUGUGUUGUGCCAAGCAGAAGCACUGUGACACCUGGACAACAAGUCUCUCUUACUUCAUAUCCUCUACCAUAAGGACUUAGCUGGCCACAUGAACUGAUGUGCCCACCACUACAUCAUGGGUGAGAAUGGGUAUUUUACUAGCACAUUUACACAACUUCAUUUGCUGCUGAAAACCUGUAUGACAAAUCAUCAUUGUAAAUUAUUACAUACAAAACUUAAUGUUGGUUGCAGAGUAUUAAAUAUUUAACAUAGGUUUUGAUUUAUACAUGUACUUUUUUAAUUAAAAUGUAACUUUUCCUACAGCACAUCUUUUUUGAUGUGGAACUGAGGUAUACUAUAUUCUGUUGUAAACAGAGUGGGGAACCUGCUUAAAACAAGGCUUCUAAGAAUAGAGUAGGGUACUAUUCUUGUUUUAAGAUUGUAAUUCAGAAAAUAAUAUAAUAUGAGUCAUUGGUCCCUGGGCCUUGAUUGUACAGUCAUAUUUACUGAUACUAUCAGUUGUAAGAUAACUCUGAUGUUGAGCUGAAUUCUUUCCAAAAGAAAAAUAAUUUUGUACUCCUUGUAAAAUAAUAGUCUGUAUUAACUGCAAUGAAGACAAACAUUACUGUACAUGGGUAUUUACAAGUGUCAACUUGAAUUCAUCAAUUGCACAGGAACUGACAAAAAAAUCAGAAAAAAAGAAAUCAAAGUCUUCCAUUGUAUAUAUUGUAAAGAAGAAAAAGAAAAAAACAACCAACAGGAAACCACAAAGCAAAAUGGAAACAAAAAAGGGUGAACUUUUUAAAUUGACUCUUUCCCUGGAAUGAAAAUGUGGGUGUUUGUAAAUUCUGGAAAUCUCUUUCUAUAUGUAAUAAACUAGAUACUGUUUUAUCUGCUGUAGUGGGU